GUAGCUCAGGAUGGCAGUGAGAGCAGUAGUACUUCAGACACCACGCCCGCUACAUCUUUCAGUCUCCACGCCACCACCGACCCCUCGAGUCUACGCAGCCCAGUGGCCGUGUGUGUCUUGGCGUUGGGCGUGACGUGCAGCAACGGUGGUAAUAGCAACGGGAAGCUUGAUGCACAGCACAGCACAGCACAGCACAGCACAGCGGAGAGAUUGGUGGUGAGUUGACGAUCCAAAGGCCUGACUCCACAGCGGUAAUGAGCCUUGUGUACCUUGCACUGUCUUCACUGACAACGCCCACUACUAACCCCUCUGCCUCCGCCACCGUUUCAAGAUCAGGGAAGGACUCUGCCUUGCAUCGCGCACUGUGAUGGUCGCCGCCCCCGCCCCCGCACCCGCCGCCGCCGCUGCUGCUGCUGCUGCUGCUGCUGCCGCUAAGGGAGAAUAGUUUGUUGAGUGGAUGACGGCGCGUUCACUGACCCUCUCCCCAUUACCCUACCAACUCCGGCCACCCACCCCCCUGCCACCAGACACCUGCUACACCACCACUACCGCCGGCUCCGUCCAGUGAAAGAUUCAUCGCAGACCUGCCAUUCAACGCCUGCCGCCGCUCAAGAGUGAUGUAGGAGUUGACGAUCCAAAGGCCUGACUCCACAGCGGUAAUGAGCCUUGUGUACCUUGCACUGUCUUCACUGACAACGCCCACUACUAACCCCUCUGCCUCCGCCACCGUUUCAAGAUCAGGGAAGGACUCUGCCUUGCAUCGCGCACUGUGAUGGUCGCCGCCCCCGCCCCCGCACCCGCCGCCGCCGCUGCUGCUGCUGCUGCUGCUGCCGCUAAGGGAGAAUAGUUUGUUGAGUGGAUGACGGCGCGUUCACUGACCCUCUCCCCAUUACCCUACCAACUCCGGCCACCCACCCCCCUGCCACCAGACACCUGCUACACCACCACUACCGCCGGCUCCGUCCAGUGAAAGAUUCAUCGCAGACCUGCCAUUCAACGCCUGCCGCCGCCGCCGCCACCACCACCACCACCUCCUUAUGGUGGUGUCACUGUACCUGGAGCUGUUGUCAUGAUUGAAUAAUAAAUUGUGAAGAAAU